rnacentral:rRNA from 1 species
CCUACGGGAGGCAGCAGUGAGGAAUAUUGGUCAAUGGGCGGGAGCCUGAACCAGCCAAGCCGCGUGAGGGAAGAAGGUACAGCGUAUCGUAAACCUCUUUUGUCAGGGAACAAAGGCGGGGACUAGUCCACGGAUGAGGGUACCUGAAGAAAAAGCAUCGGCUAACUCCGUGCAAGCAGCGGCGGUAAUACGGAGGAGGCGAGCUUUAUCCGGAUUUAUUGGGUUCAAGGGGUGCGCAGGCGGCCUGUUAAGGCAGCGGUAAAAGCCCGGGGCUCAACCCGGGCGAGCCGUGGAAACUGGCGGGCUGGAGUUGGAGAGAAGUACGCGGAAUGCGCGGUGUAGCGGUGAAAUGCUUAGAUAUCGCGCAGAACCCCGAUUGCGAAGGCAGCGUACCGGCUCCACACUGACGCUGAGGCACGAAAGCGUGGGUAUCGAACAGGAUUAGAUACCCGGGUAGUC